CUGGGACAUGUUUCCUCUCUGGGUUUAGAGCGAGGCAUUCAGUGGCACUCCACUCCUGAUCCUGACCAGCACUCUGUUCUGACCGCUGCAGGUGAGUUCAGUGCGUAUUACUUUAAACUUAUGCCAUUAAUGAAAACUUACAAUUUUAUCAUUUUAAAUCCAGAAGUCACAGUGCCUCCAUUCUGGGUGACAAUCCUGCUGAACUCUGACCCGAGUGGAAACCGCUGUGACAGAUGACCCGCUGACUCUUUAAAGACCUGUGAACACGAGAGGAUGUCUGUGCUCGCUGAAGUGGCCAUUCAGGGAUCAGAAGAGCGUUUUGUCCCAGAAUGCAGUGCAGAUGGGUGGUACAGAGCCGUUCAGGACACUGCUGGUGUGUGAGAGUGGACUCAGGAUGGCCCGUGCCGGGCACUUCAGCCAUAUAGAGAGAUUGUGUUUGUGUGUUAGUGAGUGUAGAAAACUGAAAACAUGAUUCUGUACUGUGUGGAGGAACCAAUUGCCUGACUGCAGCCCCCAGGAAACACACGCUCAUCAUCAACAACAACUGCUACACCCAAACCCCUCUCUCAGGUCAGAUCUCAGGCUGGAUGUGAUAAGUUGCACCCAGAAUGGGAAGAAUGUCAAAAGGUUGGGACAACAUGCCUUUACUCAUCUAAACCCAGACUAAGUUGUUCAUACCGGUGUUGUGUCAUAUAUAGGACAUACUUGUGUUUCUGGAAUAAAAAAGGUUGUGCCAGUGUACAAAAGGCAGACUUUCUGAAGAGUUUAAUGCAAGAAUUUCAGCAGGAAGUUAAAAA
ensembl:lncRNA